rnacentral:rRNA from 1 species
CCUACGGGAGGCAGCAGUGAGGAAUAUUGGUCAAUGGGGGAAACCCUGAUGCAGCGACGCCGCGUGUGGGAAGACGGUCCUAUGGAUUGUAAACCACUGUCCCCAGGGACGAAGAUGACGGUACCUGGGGAGGAAGCUCCGGCUAACUACGUGCCAGCAGCCGCGGUAAUACGUAGGGAGCGAGCGUUGUCCGGAGUUACUGGGGGUAAAGGGGGCGUAGGCGGGGGUGCAAGUUGGGUGUAAAAACUACCGGCUCAACUGGUAGUCGCACUCAAAACUGCAGCUCUUGAGUGAAGUAGAGGCAGGCGGAAUUCCUAGUGUAGCGGUGAAAUGCGUAGAUAUUAGGAGGAACACCAGUGGCGAAGGCGGCCUGCUGGGCUUUUACUGACGCUGAGGCUCGAAAGUGUGGGGAGCAAACAGGAUUAGAGACCCCGGUAGUC